rnacentral:rRNA from 1 species
CCUACGGGAGGCUGCAGUGAGGAAUAUUGGUCAAUGGGCGAGAGCCUGAACCAGCCAUCCCGCGUGCAGGAUGACGGCCCUAUGGGUUGUAAACUGCUUUUCUGCGCCAAGAAACCUGUCAACGAGUUGACAGCUGACGGUAGCGCAGGAAUAAGCACCGGCUAACUCCGUGCCAGCAGCCGCGGUAAUACGGAGGGUGCAAGCGUUAUCCGGAUUCAUUGGGUUUAAAGGGUGCGCAGGUGGGAAUGUAAGUCAGUGGUGAAAUACUGCCGCUUAACGGUAGAACUGCCAUUGAUACUGCGUUUCUUGAGUAUGGUUGAGGUAGGUGGAAUGUGUUGUGUAGCGGUGAAAUGCAUAGAUAUGACACAGAACGCCGAUUGCGAAGGCAACUUACUAAGCCAUUACUGACGCUGAGGCACGAAAGCGUGGGUAGCGAACAGGAUUAGAUACCCUUGUAGUC